rnacentral:rRNA from 2 species
AAGGAUCAUUAAUGAAUUCACUAUGGAGUUGUUGCUGGCCUCUAGGGGCAUGUGCACGCUUCACUAGUCUUUCAACCACCUGUGAACUUUUGAUAGAUCUGUGAAGUCGUCUCUCAAGUCGUCAGACUUGGUUGCUGGGAUUUAAACGUCUCGGUGUGACUACGCAGUCUAUUUACUUACACACCCCAAAUGUAUGUCUACGAAUGUCAUUUAAUGGGCCUUGUGCCUUUAAACCAUAAUACAACUUUCAACAACGGAUCUCUUGGCUCUCGCAUCGAUGAAGAACGCAGCGAAAUGCGAUAAGUAAUGUGAAUUGCAGAAUUCAGUGAAUCAUCGAAUCUUUGAACGCACCUUGCGCCCCUUGGUAUUCCGAGGGGCAUGCCUGUUUGAGUGUCAUUAAAUUCUCAAACUCACUUUGGUUUCUUUCCAAUUGUGAUGUUUGGAUUGUUGGGGGCUGCUGGCCUUGACAGGUCGGCUCCUCUUAAAUGCAUUAGCAGGACUUCUCAUUGCCUCUGCGCAUGAUGUGAUAAUUAUCACUCAUCAAUAGCACGCAUGAAUAGAGUCCAGCUCUCUAAUCGUCCGCAAGGACAAUUUGACAAUUUGACCUCAAAUCAGGUAGGACUACCCGCUGAACUUAA